GACGAACGCUGGCGGCGUGCUUAACACAUGCAAGUCGAGCGGAAAGGCCCUUCGGGGUACUCGAGCGGCGAACGGGUGAGUAACACGUGAGUAACCUGCCCUCAGCUUUGGGAUAACCCUCGGAAACGGGGGCUAAUACCGGAUAUGACAUGAGCCUGCAUGGGUUUGUGUGGAAAGUUUUUCGGCUGGGGAUGGGCUCGCGGCCUAUCAGCUUGUUGGUGGGGUGAUGGCCCACCAAGGCGACGACGGGUAGCCGGUCUGAGAGGAUGAUCAGCCACACUGGGACUGAGACACGGCCCAGACUCC
rnacentral:rRNA from 1 species